CCUACGGGUGGCAGCAGUGAGGAAUAUUGGUCAAUGGACGAGAGUCUGAACCAGCCAAGCCGCGUGAAGGAUGAAUGCUCUAUGGGUUGUAAACUUCUUUUAUCUGGGAAUAAAAUGUUCCUCGUGUGGGAUAUUGUAUGUACCUUAUGAAUAAGCAUCGGCUAACUCCGUGCCAGCAGCCGCGGUAAUACGGAGGAUCCGAGCGUUAUCCGGAUUUAUUGGGUUUAAAGGGAGCGUAGGUGGACUGUUAAGUCAGUUGUGAAAGGUUGCGGCUCAACCGUAAAAGUGCAGUUGAAACUGGCUGUCUUGAGUACAGGAGAGGUAGGCGGAAUUCGUGGUGUAGCGGUGAAAUGCUGAGAUAUUACGAAGAACUCCGAUUGCGAAGGCAGUUCACUGGACUGCAACUGACACUGAGGCUCGAAAGUGUGGGUAUCAAACAGGAUUAGAUACCCUAGUAGUC
rnacentral:rRNA from 1 species